UCACAUCAGAGGUGCGAUUGUGUAAAGUUGUUCAUGGAUGGACAAUGAAUACAAUUGAUCAUCGAUCGUAUAUCUAAAUUCGAAUUGUGUAAUUUUGUCCAUUUCAUGAAGACCGAAAAGUGACCGGUCGUAUAUAAUCGUUUCAUGGAUUUGCGUUUUAUUAAUGAAAAACAUUCGCUAAAACUCAUUAUUUUUUAACAAAUAACGAAUGAAAUCCAUGUUCAAAUGCAGUUUUUUUUAAUAAAAUUUUAUGAUUGCACCUUAAUAACAUACUUUUAUUCAUAAAAACAUUGAAUUCGAAUUAAAAAUUUACCUCUGCAAAUCAUAUAACCAAACGCAUAGAACGAAUGAAAUACGAGUUCCACUACCCGCCCCCAGGUGGCAUACAUACUUUAAGGCUAGGCAGGCUAAGUUGACUACUACUCUACAAUAGGUGGCGUUAAUGGACUACGAAAAACGACGUGAAAUGCUUACUUCUUUUUAUUUAUUUAUACUUUAAUGCCAAAAUUUUAACCUAAGGCGAACUUAAUCUCACAUUUAAUAAAUUAUACAUAAAUAAGUGUUUUGAGAAGUAGUAUUUUAAUCUAUGUUCUGUGAAUGACAAGUGUUAUCUGUCAAGUGUCAAAAAACUUGGAAAAACUUUUACGAAGUUUUUGAAUUAUGUUAAAUUUGUUUAUAAACACAAUGCCAAAGGCAAGAAUAAUUGCCCACGCCAGAUGGAGACCCAGCUAAAUAAUGUAGUAACAGCGCGUGGUCGUGUGAUGAGGGUUCCUUGACUUGAGUUCUGGCGCAACACGUCCUGGGCACUAAACAAGAUUGGGGAUGGGACGUCUAAAGAGGUGCAAGCCUGGAAAACGCUCUCGUCUUGCUCUACAGCACUUGCACUUGUCCCACCAUCUACCAGUGUUGGAACUCUUCCAAUAAUUUCCCACACCCAGGUGGAGAAUACUCCAGUUACUGCUACUGCUACUCUAAAAUAUCUCUCAUCUUGUUCUACAGCGCCUGCACCUGUCCUACCAUCUACCAGUGUUGGAACUCUUCGAAGUGUAUUAAUGAUUAUUAUUUUAGUAACCAUAAAAGUUUAAAACAAUACAUUUUAUUGCAUAAUUAUUUGUUAGAAAAAACGACAAGUACAAAUGAGUAGGGAGGCUGUUGAUUUUUCAUGGUUAUUUUAUAUCUUGUUGAUUGUUCCAAAAAAAAAACUAAGUUUUCAAGAAUGAUAUUAUGAUUAAAGUACCUAUAGUAUUAUAUUUAAAAUGAAAACUUAGUUUGUAAAGAGACGAAGGCUGACCACAAAAGAAGUACUUAUAGCUGUCUGUGUCUGUGUAAAGAAUUUAAAUAAAAAGAUGUGUAUAUUUAAA